UGUCUCUGCUCCCCCUCCCCAGCGCGCCACACAGUGAGGCUGGGAGCCGGAAUAUGACGUCAUAUUCCGGCUCCCAGCCUCACUGUGCGGUGCGCUGGGGAGGGGGAGCAGAGACACAACAG